ensembl:lncRNA
AUAGUGUAAUCUUUUCUGUUGCAGAGGAUGGGAUUGCCUCAUUCUGUAGCCUUUGGGGGCUCAUUUCAACAGAACAUCUGCAAUGUUGACUUGUUAAUGAACCUCCAAUGUGAUGGCAGAACAGUUGAUGUGCAGAUAGACACUUCCUGCGAACACGAGUAUAUGCUCCAAGGGAAGCUCAGGCAUUCGGUUUCCUGGCUGAGUCAGCUUGGGCUGCCUUUUGAAAACUCUGUCCUGUUAUCUGCAGCCACAGACUCCACCACUGAGGGCGUUUUGUUGCUGCAGGCUGGCAAAUGCAAGCUUAAGGCUAGAGGAGAUCUCUGUAUUCAGAAUAAAGCUGAAUGGACACUGGAAACAGAAACAGAAUGUCAGCUUCUGCAGGAUCUCAGUAUUCCAACUCAGUCGCGGAUCACAGGGUCUAUUCAGAAGGACAAGUGCCAAGCGGAACUUCUCUGUGUCCUUGAAACAGAAGGCAAGACUGCCCGUCUUGAAGUGAGAGCAGAGUGCAAGCCAAAGAUUACACUGGAAGUUCAAUUCAGGCAUGACCUCCCUCAACUGAAGGAAAUUCCAAAGGAAAAUAAGUUGUCCAUUGCUGCACGAAGGCAGUUAAAAUAUUAUAUUGGAAUAGGAAUGAAAUCCGGUGCUUGUGAGCUUCGAAUGAACGGUGACUUUGACCCUGAAAAGAAGCUUCAGUGGAAAAUGCUUAUAGAAAACAAAUGCCAAACAAUUCAGGAUCUUGGAGCACCAGUAAAAAUUGACAGUUCAGGCUAUGUUUUGAUGGAAAAAAUCAACCUAGAUUCACAGAUGUUUAUCGCUUUUGAUGAAAGUAAAUUACAAGGACUCCUCAUUCUAAGAGUCACUGAUGUAAGUAUGCUGCAGAGCAUUAGACUUCAUGUACAAAGUACUGAGUGGCUUACUCUAAACUAUUUUACUGGGAACAAAUAGUCAAGCUUUAGUAAUAAAUGCCAGAAUAAACAUAAAGUCUUUGAAAAU